CGAUUGGACGCUGUAAUAAUUGUACUAUAGGUUACCAGGAGAAGGUAAAGGUCAAUCUUUCAAGAUCAAAAUGUAAACUGGGAAGGUCGCUUCAUUUCUGAACCACGAAGUAAAGUGAGAAUUUACUGGUUUAAAGGGCUGCUUACAGACUAGCAGUGAACAUGGCAACUCUACUGAAUCUUACAAGAAACUUUUCACAGACUGGAUUUAGUAGAUCUGGUUUUACUUUUAUGAAAUUAAUAGCUGAUGAAGAGGGAAGAACAUCAAAGAAACUUAUAUCACGGACAGCAAUAGUGUUAGCAAUGUGUGGCAUUAGUAUGUCUUUAUUCUGUACAAGACAGUUAUCAGAAAAACCAGCAACUUGUUCCUUAGUUGGACGACAAAAAUAAUGUGUCUAGUUUAGUUUUAUAAUGACACUUUGCCAUGUCAUUUAAGCUCUUUUUAACCAAGUCCCUCUUAUUCUAAUUUCGAAAUCUUAGUGCAUAUGUUUCGAGAAAGUUAUUUUCCCAGUAAGAUAGUUAUACAAGUAUGAAAAAGUACAAAGCAAAAUGAAAUGACAAAUUGUUAACUGACAGAUAAUGACAUUAGUUCUAUUAUGUAUGUUCCCAUGAAAUUUACUAUAGAUCUGCUUUGUCCAUAUUGUAUAAACCGUUAAAUUAAUGUUAGCAUAAUUAAUCAUGUAUUCUAGGAAUACAGUUUUUGAAAUGCAAGUGUUUAUCACUUGUAUUGAUUGGUAACCAGGAAAUUUGCCUUCCCAGGUUUGAAUGGAAUAUCUAUAAGCUCAAAACAAUGAGAACCAGUAUUUGUCAUAGAUGCAUCAGGUGUUCAUUUAUUUGACAUCAAUAUUAAUUUAAAAAAAUAAAACUGCUUAUUAUCACAUAAGUUAAGAAUGUCAUUGUCAGAUUUAAAAUUAUGAAUUCAGGUUAAAUGAACAAGUCCCUCCAACUGGAAGGACACAUUUAUUACUGAAUAUUAAUUUUGUUCAAUGAAUAGUGUAAAACUGUAAGCAUUUGGUUUAAUUUUAAGAAAGUGAUAUGUAAAAUUUUCAACAAGAAAAGCUAUUGACCCAUUGUAAUUGAAUAUUCAGGUAUUUAAAAGUUAAUAAUAUGACUUGAUCUCUUUGAAACGACAGAAAAUUUAUGAUUUUAAAAUCUUUUGUUAGAUGUUUUAUAUUUUGUCAUUGCAAGGCUUUCUUUUUAUUCACCGAUCAUCACCAGCAGUAUCCUACUUUAUGGUAGGAAGCCAUAUUAUUUUAUUUAUUGCAUGUAAUAUAUUUUCUGAUUGUCUUUUUGUGUGUUGUUAAGUUGUUUUCAAAACAUGUUCACAACUAUAAAUAUCUAAUGCAGGUAUAGGGAGUUUUCACCGAAUUCAUUUUAAUGAAGUAUUGUAGACAUUGAGAAUGGUAAUACAUGCAUAUUAUUUGAGAAUGAAUUCAGGAGUUUAACACUGUCCCAUGAAAUCCUUGCCAAGAUGUUCAAUGAGAUGACUUUUAGUAUAUGUAAGAUGAGACAUAAUUGUCUUAUGAAGACUCAAUUUAUCCUGACUUGUAGACACAACGUUAUGUGAACAUAUAUGUUAAUUUUAUAUUUUUAAGUUAAAAUAAAAGUAUUGCAAAAUUUU